rnacentral:lncRNA from 1 species
GACUGAUCUGAAACAAUAAUAAAUAAAUCAUUAGUAUGAUCCAAAUAAAAGAAUCAAAUUUGAUUAUAUAUAAAGUGCAAUGAUUAAUACUACUGGGAUCAGCCUCACUGAGACCCGGCUCACUGGGACCCGGCUCACUCAUAGUCGGCUCACUGGGACCUGUCGGUGCAGGAUCCUCUGACACUGGAGCCGGUGAGGCCAUGG